CCUAGUUUCCUCACUGUAAAAUAGAAAUAAUAGCAGUACCUAUCUUACAGAGUUGUGCAGAUUACCUUCUAAUAAAAUUGGUAUCUUCUACAAAUCAGCAAAAAUAAGUUUAAUUAUCUGUGCCGAAAUUCAGUUCAACAAAUAUUAAGUGACUUAUGUGGUUCUGGAAAUGACCAUAUGGCCUUUGCCCUCAAGAAACGUACAACCUAAGUGUUAUAAGACAUAAACGAAUAAGGAAGGAAACAUAUUAACACUGUAAGUGGUGCAGAUAAGAUCAGGGAAAGGCUUUAUGAACAAAGUGGCAUCUGAGAUGAACUUAUCCGGCAGUUAGUGGGGAGGAUAUUCUAAGCAGAGGCAAUGGUUUGAGCCACUGGCAUUUGGAGGCAGAAAAUGAAGGCAGACUUGAAGAAUGUUUAAAAAGUUCAUCCGCACUUAAACACCCUGGAAAUCCCCUCUGCUUUACAACCAACUAGGAACUGGCUCCAAAGUACCAACACAGUGCCUAACGUUCCUCCUUCCUUGGAAGCAGACACUCAGAGUAUGCACAUGUACAGUCCUCAGAGAUGCUGUGAGGAUGCUUAAGGAGCCUGGAUUAGCCAUCAGCGGAUCUGGGUUUGCAUCUUCUCUGCUGGGCCAUCCAUUAGCUUAUAUGACUUUGAUCAAGUCACCUCACUUUUCCAGGCCUCAAGUUCCUGAGGUAUAAAGUGGGGAUACUUACUUCAAAGGGCUAUUGUAAGAACUCAGAAUUAAGAGAUUUGAUUACAAAAAGACUAUAGUACAAAAGUCUCUAUAUAUGCUUUGGGUAAGUAAUAAUAAUGGUACAAGUUUUACCAACAGUUUGUCAUUAUUUAUAACUCUUUGGGUUUUAAAACGGAUACCAGGAAAAUAACUUUCUCUGCUUCCUGUUCCUGACUCAGAAAUGGGAGCCUGUGUUCAUACAGAGGUAGAGUAGAUGGAUUCCUAUAAGUACCAAUAACCUAACUGCCUCCAUAUAUGUAAGAAAAGCAUGUCCAUCCCCUUUAGAAGGGCUUUAGAUUGAGACCAGAUGAAUUGCCCUUGCAGUACACACAUAUUCAUAAAGCGAGUGUUCUCUGCCAGACACUGCCUGCCAUGGAGCUUUGUAGAUUACUUUACCUUUACAAUGUGCAUAUAUCUUCUAAUUCUAUCCUCAAAACAAUCCUGUGAGAAAACUGAGAUGGAAAGGGAAAGAAGAUCAAGUUAAUGACUACAGAAAAAACACAGAACCUCUAUUUCCAGUUCCUACUUAACUCAUUACUUCAUUGAGAUGAAUGAGCUAUUUGUUUACGAAGCAGAAGAAACAAUGAUUUAUUAGUUGUAUCUGCAAAAGCCAUCAAAACUUAUAAUUUCUCAAAGCAAUGAAG